rnacentral:rRNA from 1 species
GCCCGUAUAUACUACUUCAUAUUAAUACUUAAAAAAAUUUUUUAUAUCAAAUAGUAUUUAAUAAAAAACUCCAUCACACAAAUCAAACACCGCAAGGCUAUCACCUUCUCUGCUCACCAUAGAAAAGAUAAUAACUUCUCCCUCUUGCAUCAUGGAGGAGCAACAAAACCGUAAAAACCCUACUAUUCCCGAAUAAUUAUGAGCUACUAAACCCUAAAACUUAAUGUUUCACAAUUAAUAGACUAGCUUUUAGUAGAAGUAACAAGCCUUUCAUAUAAUUAGAUAGCUGGUUUUCCGCAAAAAGUAUCAAAGUACCGCCCUAUGGUUAUUUUAUGUUUACACCAAACUAUAGGAGUCAGCCUUUUAAGGACUAGCCUAAAAGGAAAAUUAUAAUAACCCAAAUACUUCACUUUUAUUGUAGACUUAAAAGCAGCCACCCAAACAGCGUUCUAGCUAGUAAACUCACUUAAAUAUAAUAUUUAAAGCAAAAUUUUAGUUUAAAGCGAAAUCUAGUGUCAAACACCCCCACUAACAAACAGGCAUCCUAUUAGUAUUAAGGUAAUAUAUUUAUUAACAAACAUUAAUAAAAAUAAAUCAACAAAUAAAUUCCAACUUCAACCAUACAGAGUAAACUCGGCAACAAAAUUUCCCCUGCCUGUUUACCAAAAACAUCGUCUUUUGUUAACUCACAUAAAAGAUAAUGCCUGCCCAGUGAAAUUUUUAAACGGCCGCGUUAGCGUGAGCGUGCUAAGGUAGCGUAAUAAAUAGCCUCUUAAUUGGAGGCCAGUGAAUGGCAAGACUAGGGAUACCUGUACCCUGUAUAAAAAAACAACUUUUCAUCCGGGUGAAAAGACCCGGGUAAUAAAGGAAGACGAAAAGACCCCGCGGAACUUUACCUUUUCCAGUCUCCACAUGCUCAGAAACACAAAAGCAAAAGGUUUGAUUGGGGCAAUCUCGGAACCAUCCAAACUUCCGACUUAUAGUACAAAAGUAUACAAAACUUAAUAAGGACCAAAAAGAAGUUACCCCGGGGAUAACAGCGUAAUCCAACUUGAGAGUACAAUCCACAUAAGUGCAACCGCUAUGAUAGGAUAGUCUGUUCGACUAUUAUACCCUUACACGAGCUGAGUUAAGACCGGCGCAAGCUAGGUUGGUUUCUAUCUCCUUAAUUUAACAAUUUUCUUGAUUGUACGAAAGGACCCCAAGAAAUGCAGCAAAUAGGCAGCAUUAUAACUUAAAUCUAUAAACUUAAAUUUAAUUCCUC